GGGCUGGAAUCUCUCGGGGUUACAGCCUUGCUGAAUUAUUCACCCUUGUCUUUUGCGUACUUCUUGUUUCCUUGGUGGGUUCGCCCACCACUAGGACAAACAUAAACCUUUUGUAAUUGCAAUCAGCGUCAGUAACAAAUUAAUAAUUACAACUUUCAACAACGGAUCUCUUGGUUCUGGCAUCGAUGAAGAACGCAGCGAAAUGCGAUAAGUAGUGUGAAUUGCAGAAUUCAGUGAAUCAUCGAAUCUUUGAACGCACAUUGCGCCCUUUGGUAUUCCAAAGGGCAUGCCUGUUCGAGCGUCAUUUGUACCCUCAAGCUUUGCUUGGUGUUGGGCGUCUUGUCUCUAGCUUUGCUGGAGACUCGCCUUAAAGUAAUUGGCAGCCGGCCUACUGGUUUCGGAGCGCAGCACAAGUCGCACUCUCUAUCAGCAAAGGUCUAGCAUCCAUUAAGCCUUUUUUCAACUUUUGACCUCGGAUCAGGUAGGGAUACCCGCUGAACUUAAG
rnacentral:rRNA from 1 species